AACGAACGCUGGCGGCAGGCCUAACACAUGCAAGUCGAGCGGACCCUUCGGGGUUAGCGGCGGACGGGUGAGUAACGCGUGGGAAUAUGCCCUUCUCUACGGAAUAGUCCUGGGAAACUGGGGGUAAUACCGUAUACGCCCUUUGGGGGAAAGAUUUAUCGGGGAAGGAUUAGCCCGCGUUGGAUUAGGUAGUUGGUGGGGUAAUGGCCUACCAAGCCGACGAUCCAUAGCUGGUUUGUGAGGAUGAUCAGCCACACUGGGACUGAGACACGGCCCAGACUCCUACGGGAGGCAGCAGUGGGGAAUCUUAGACAAUGGGGGCAACCCUGAUCUAGCCAUGCCGCGUGAGUGAUGAAGGCCUUAGGGUUGUAAAGCUCUUUCAGCUGGGAAGAUAAUGACGGUACCAGCAGAAGAAGCCCCGGCUAACUCCGUG
rnacentral:rRNA from 1 species